rnacentral:rRNA from 1 species
ACGGGGAGCAGCAGGCGCGAAACCUUUACACUGCACGACAGUGCGAUAAGGGGAUCCCGAGUGCGAGGGCAUACAGUCCUCGCUUUUCUGCACCGUAAGGUGGUGCAGGAAUAAGGGCUGGGCAAGACCGGUGCCAGCCGCCGCGGUAAUACCGGCAGCCCGAGUGAUGGCCGCUAUUAUUGGGCCUAAAGCGUCCGUAGCCGGCCGAACAGGUCCGUCGGGAAAUCUGCUCGCCCAACGAGCAGGCGUCCGGCGGAAACCAGUCGGCUUGGGGCCGGAAGACCCGAGGGGUACGUCCGGGGUAGGAGUGAAAUCCCGUAAUCCCGGACGGACCGCCGGUGGCGAAAGCGCCUCGGGAAGACGGACCCGACGGUGAGGGACGAAAGCUAGGGUCACGAACCGGAUUAGAUACCCGGGUAGUCCUAGCUGUAAACGAUGCCCACUAGGUGUGGCAC